ACCGUAGAGCCACCGUCCUCUUGCCUGUCCCCCACAGAGCUCAGCAUAGGGGAUAGCCCAUACCCUAUCUGAGGCGAGGCAGGUGUAAAGCAGGGCUGUGGAAUUCAUUCUCUAGUAAAAUGGAGCCCCCAAGAAGUGGAGUCAUAUGGAGUAAUCUGCUGAAAGCCCCCUAUACUUGGUGCCUUGUCGUUCAGCCACAGGGCGGUCCUGCCUCACAGCCCCAAAGAGUUCUUGGCCAGGCUGUAGGUAACAAGGUUUCGGUUGGGAGCAGAGGUGGAAAUCAAACAGCCCAGAACAGCUGAGCUCUCUUGGCAGCCCAUCUUAAGAUUCAGCUGAGCUCUCAGACCAUCACACAGAACCCUGGGGGUGGGGGACUGGUGGUCCAGAAUCUGCCUUUAUUAGAACUCUAAUCGCUGAAAGGUUGGGGUAGGCUCCCCAGCCACCACUUUAGCCGGGCGAAAAUCCAGGUAGAUCACUGUAAUGGGAGGGGUGAGGGGAGCAGAAAGGGAACCCAUCUGUGCAGCAUCGUGAGCGCCCUGGGUCUCUGCCAGGGGCCUCACCCUGGACCUGCAGCCUUGGGCUGGCGCCCUGUUCUGCGGCAGGCUCUGCAGGGGACCCCCAGGCAAGCCGCUGAGAUGCUGUCGGCUCCAGGCAGGAGCUGCAACACCGUAGUCCAUUGCUCAGCGCUUUGUGAUGCGGCUUCCGAGUAACAGAUGGCAGACGGUUACACAAUCGCCAGGCUUUAGACAUGGUGCAGCACCACACUGCCUGCCGCCGAGGGGCUGAGGGGCUUCGUUCUGUUUGGCAUCUGGGGAAACCGAGGCCCUGGGUUUCCCGUGGCAGCUCCAUGCAGAGCCUGCAAGGGAGACCAGGGAUUGCCUUCCAAGGAUUGCCUUCCACGGGAUUGCCUGCUUCUUGAAUCGUUAUUUUGCCCUCUACUCAAGUGGAGAAGAUCCCCUGGUCCUCUGGAAGCUAUCAAGGGAAUCCAGUUUUGCCAAGUGUCGUUACCUGAUCCAGCCCAAAGCGAUUUGUAUGGCACUGAACAGUCAUUAUUUCAUCUGCUGCUGUCUGCAAUGCUGCUCUAAGGUGGAUGGAAGCGAUGGAGCUCCUGGGGCAAGGACUCGUCGUGACGGGCCAUGUCCUGUUGGUAGAUCGCAGUGGCAGCUUGGAUCCCGACUCCGGUGUGAUGGACUGAGCGCCGAGCAGAGGGUCUGAGACCGGCAGUCCUGGUGCUCACUCUGUUUCUCACUCUGCCUAUGGGACCUCAGGCGUUGGACCCCGCCUCUCUGGCGUCUUCACCUGUAAAGGGAAGAACUAAACAGAUGGUCUCAAUGAUUCUUCCUGCUUCCAUCUUUCUUCAAUCCAAUGUAUUUCUGAGUCCUCUUUUAAAACCCUUGAUGCAUCUCCAUUUAGUUCCACAGAAAAUUUAUACAGGGGUUUAUUGAGUCCUCAGGAAACACCUAAUAAAAUAUUGUGGAGAAAGAGAUUGAUUUAAUGA
rnacentral:lncRNA from 1 species